ACGUGAACAGGACGCCGAUGAUCGUGGGGCUGCUCAUCGGCAUCGUGGUCCUCGCCAUUCUUGCAUUGGGAUACCUCGGGUUUUUCCAAACUGAGAAAAUCAAACGCUGCCUACACUUACCAUGAUGCAGUGAGAGUCGUGUUUCCCAGGCUGCUAAUGGUGACAUCCAGAAGCCUUCAGCAGGCAGCAGGUAGAGGACGUUCAAGAAGUUGUGCUGCUGUCCAAGACGACGUCUUACUUCUUAAACCUAAACACACAAACUUCUCAAAACAGAGUCUGAUGGAGGACUUUAGUAUGGCAGAGCUUGUGUGUUUCCUACAAACUGGACUAUGAGAUGAAGCGUGACAUCCAGAGAUGUUAAACAGAGUUUUCAGAUUAUUUUCGUGGGCUGCUGGGAUGUAUGCGUUUGGACCGUGAUGAGGGGAAAACAAGAUUUCUGAAGUAAUGUAAUAGGAUAGGUUAAAAAAGCUGAUAUCAGAGUCUGCUCGACUGCAGGAGGAGGACGUCUCCUGAGAAGCAGUUUAGAGGAUUCUGACUAUCCUGGUAAGACAGCUGACAAAGCAGGAGAUGGGACCUGGAGUAGCAGCUGUUUAUGUACCUAAUCUAUGUUUACGUCACCGAGUUUUUGUUAUGUAGCUUUAAAACAUGAAUUCUAGACAAACAGAUAUGGAUUUUGAGGUUUAUUGCUAACACUGAUGUCUGAAUGCCUUCAAAUAUGUUGUCAAAGUUGAAAUGCUUGAGAUUAAUAAAACAUGUUUGGCCACA